AUGAACGCUGGCGGCGUGCCUAAUACCUGCAAGUCGAGCGAACAGACGAGGAGCUUGCUCCUCUGACGUUAGCGGCGGACGGGUGAGUAACACGUGGAUAACCUACCUAUAAGACUGGGAUAACUUCGGGAAACCGGAGCUAAUACCGGAUAAUAUAUUGAACCGCCUGGUUCAAUAGUGAAAGACGGUUUUGCUGUCACUUAUAGAUGGAUCCGCGCCGCAUUAGCUAGUUGGUAAGGUAACGGCUUACCAAGGCAACGAUGCGUAGCCGACCUGAGAGGGUGAUCGGCCACACUGGAACUGAGACACGGUCCAGACUCCUACGGGAGGCAGCAGUAGGGAAUCUUCCGCAAUGGGCGAAAGCCUGACGGAGCAACGCCGCGUGAGUGAUGAAGGUCUUCGGAUCGUAAAACUCUGUUAUUAGGGAAGAACAAAUGUGUAAGUAACUAUGCACGUCUUGACGGUACCUAAUCAGAAAGCCACGGCUAACUACGUG
rnacentral:rRNA from 1 species